CUAGUUUAUGCAAAGCCUUCACACGGUUCCUGAGGCUUCAGGGAAGGCUGCAUUGAGUGUGUCAUCCAGAGAGCUAAGGCAAUCGGUGAAACGUCAGCAUGGCUACCAUCAACCCACGGCGAGCACUCAUAUUCAAGAUACAAAAAAAACUUUGCACAUUGAGUACACAGCAGCUGCAGACAGUCGUGACCUCGAUUGACGAUGAAAGCGCCAUUCAUGUUCACGAUUUAAGUGAACCAGAACUGUAUGAUUGGAUUGUCGACUUUGUUAAAAGUGAGAAACUGAAAGCGUCAGAGGAUGAAGGCAUGGCUCAGCUCCUCCUUUUGGAUGAACUGGUUAGUAACCUGCUCGUCGUUGAUAUCGGUGCAACUGGAGAUGACCCAACCACACUUUCAAGAACUGAUAAUGUGUCAGCUGGUCGGACUGGUGGU